rnacentral:lncRNA from 1 species
GCAGUGCCUGUUUAUUAUGGCUAUUUUAUUUUCCCUGUCCCUCAAACAUUAAUCAUUCCUAAUAGGACGAGGUUGGUUGAACAGAUGGGAAAUAAGUGGCAGAGGCCUGUGUUCAGCAAAUGCCUUUUCAUUGUUUUCCCUCCUCUUUACACCCUCCCUAUGCAAACACACCUUUUUAAGGUUAGUUUGUGUGUUUAGUAGGCUCUUGUGCCUAGAUGUCACAAUCAGUUACCAGGGACAUGUCCCCGCGCUGUUCCCGUGCACGGAGGAAUUCAGCAGCAGGGCAGGUCCUGCAGGGAUCUCCAGGGAGGAGGAAGUCCAUCCCAUCAGAGCUGUCACAGGGCAGGGAAGGGCAGUGACCAACCCCAGCGAUUUGUUGUGGGAUGGCAACUCCGUUUGGAUCCAUACUGAUGAUAUCUCAGGCUGUGACAGUCAGCUGGAAAACAAACAGGAAAGCAGG